GGGCUUACACAAGCGGUGGAGCAUGUGGUUUAAUUCGAAACAACGCGCAAAACCUUACCAAUCCUUGAAUUAUGAAAAGAAGAUGUGUUAUUGUAUCUUUUUGUUUUAUACAGGUGCUGCAUGGCUGUCGUCAGUUCGUGGUGUGAGCUGUUGGGUUAAGUCCUAGAACGAACGCAACCCUUUUUUGAGUUGUUUGUUUUUUCAUCUCUCAAGAAACUGCCAGUGAUAUACGGGAGGAAGGGAAGGAUGACGUCAAGUCCGCAUGGCCCUUAUGGGUUGGGCUACACACGUGCUACAAUGGCGAUGACAAAGGGUGGCAAUAUGGCAACAUGGAGCAAAUCCUCAAACAUCGUCUCAGUCCGGAUUGUUCUCUGCAACUCGAGAACAUGAAGUUGGAAUCGCUAG
rnacentral:rRNA from 1 species